rnacentral:lncRNA from 1 species
ACUGGGAUUACAGGCAUGCAACGAAUGUAAUUAUUGAAAACUGCACAGGUGUUGGAGUCCUUUCAGUCAAAUGCUGAACACCUCUGAAGAUUAGCUCAAUGUCUGAUUCAGUUGUGUUUUUCAGAUUGAAGCUAAUAUAGAUGUUGCCCUUGUAAGAAUAUUUUCAACUUAAUUUAGAAUUUCAAGAUUUUCCUAAGAGUUUUAUUUUUAACCUAUUUGGUAAUUAUUCAUCUCCAGCAGCUACAUGCCCAAGAAGGUAUUUCCUCUGACUCUAGUUCAUGUAGUCUAGUAAAUUCCCAGUGUUUCAAAGAGGACACAUCACCUAUCCAUGUAUCAUAGGUACUAAUAUACUAUUACUGUAAGAUAAACACUUAGAAAUGACUAGGUUUUAGAAUGAUCCAUUGAAGUGAGAGAUGAGUUAAAGAAUGAGCUUGAAGUUUACCUCAAAAUUUUCCCAAAUGAAAGGUGGUAGGAGCAUCCUUCUGUCACAAGUGAAUAAUGAUUGAAAAUUCUUUAAACAGCUGCCUGUGCAACCUAUGUGAUUUUCUUCAAGGACAGAAUUUCAUAUUCAC